rnacentral:rRNA from 1 species
GACAGAGGGUGCAAACGUUGCUCGGAAUUACUGGGCGUAAAGGGCGUGUAGGCGGGACAGUAAGUCGGGCGUGAAAUCCCUGGGCUCAACCCAGGAACUGCACUCGAAACUACUAUUCUUGAGUGUCGGAGAGGAAAGCGGAAUUCCUGGUGUAGAGGUGAAAUUCGUAGAUAUCAGGAGGAACACCAGUGGCGAAGGCGGCUUUCUGGACGAUAACUGACGCUGAGACGCGAAAGCGUGGGGAGCAAACAGG